GACGAACGCUGGCGGCGUGCUUAACACAUGCAAGUCGAACGGACAGGCCCUGCUUUUGUGGGGUGCUCGAGUGGCGAACGGGUGAGUAACACGUGAGUAACCUGCCCUUGACUUUGGGAUAACUUCAGGAAACUGGGGCUAAUACCGGAUAGGAGCUCCUGCUGCAUGGUGGGGGUUGGAAAGUUUCGGCGGUUGGGGAUGGACUCGCGGCUUAUCAGCUUGUUGGUGGGGUAGUGGCUUACCAAGGCUUUGACGGGUAGCCGGCCUGAGAGGGUGACCGGCCACAUGGGGACUGAGAUACGGCCCAGACUCCUACGGGAGGCAGCAGUGGGGAAUAUUGCACAAUGGGCGGAAGCCUGAUGCAGCAACGCCGCGUGCGGGAUGACGGCCUUCGGGUUGUAAACCGCUGUCGCCUGUGACGAAGCGUGAGUGACGGUAAUGGGUAAAGAAGCACCGGCUAACUACGUG
rnacentral:rRNA from 1 species